rnacentral:rRNA from 1 species
AUUGAACGCUGGCGGCAGGCUUAACACAUGCAAGUCGAGCGGAGAUGAGGUGCUUGCACCUUAUCUUAGCGGCGGACGGGUGAGUAAUGCUUAGGAAUCUGCCUAUUAGUGGGGGACAACAUUCCGAAAGGAAUGCUAAUACCGCAUACGUCCUACGGGAGAAAGCAGGGGAUCUUCGGACCUUGCGCUAAUAGAUGAGCCUAAGUCGGAUUAGCUAGUUGGUGGGGUAAAGGCCUACCAAGGCGACGAUCUGUAGCGGGUCUGGGAGGAUGAUCCGCCACACUGGGACUGAGACACGGCCCAGACGCCUACUGGGGGCAGCAGUGGGGAAUAUUGGACAAUGGGGGGAACCCUGAUCCAGCCAUGCCGCGUGUGUGAAGAAGGCCUUAUGGUUGUAAAGCACUUUAAGCGAGGAGGAGGCUACUGAGACUAAUACUCUUGGAUAGUGGACGUUACUCGCAGAAUAAGCACCGGCUAGCUCUGUGCCAGCCGCCGCGGUAAAAC